AUUUGAUUUAUUUUUUGUUUGAUCUUUCUAUUUAUAUUUUGUAUUGGUAAAUGGAUCCAUUUUUCUUGUUUAUUUAUUUUUUCUUGUUCUCUCUUUCCUUCUUUAAUAUUGGACAAAAGAUGUUUAUUCAUUUGUUAACUAGUGAAUUGUGAUAUUUGAAACCUUUAGCAAGAUUAAGCAUGAGCUUAAAUGUUGUAGUUACUACUGCAUGCUCAUUGCAGUCCUGUCCUGUUUUAAGAGGGUUUUCUUUUUUCAAGCAGUUUGGCUCAUCAAAUGCAAGGAUUCUGAAUUUUCAUCUUUUCAUUGACUUAUUUUUGUAUGUAUUAUAGAAAUGGUUCUAGAAAGCAGUUGAUACCAGUACAUAGUGUGUUCAUAAUGGUAUAACUAAGUCUAGCUACUGCUACAUAGAGAUUGGAGCUGAUUUUGCAGCUGUAUUGGCUGUAAUGAUCUGUUACAGUGUCAUAAUCGCCUUUUUGGGCCAUUACAGCCUGUUACAACAUGAAAAUUUACUAGGCAGCUGCAAAUAAUUGCUUGACCUCAUUUUCAUUUUUUUUAAUUCUUUUUUCACAUAUUCUUCUAUUUAAUAUUUAGGAACCUUGCCUUCCGAAUCAGAUUUACACUUUCAAAGAUCAGGAUAAUAAUGAAUAGAUUCAAGUUUCAUAUUGAAGAAGUCAAAACUUCACAUUUCUUUGUCAGAACCUUGAUAGUAUCUUAUUUAAUUACACUGUAUUUGGAAAAUUAGUCCGGAAUAGCUGUGAUUGAAAUCAGCAAUGGUUGGUAGUUAUGAAAUUAUGGGGUGGUUUGGGAUGAUCUAAGAAAGUGUGCUUUUUGACUUUUUAUGAAAUAUGGGUUGGGUAUGGGUUGGGUUUGAAGUGAUGUGGUAGAAAGGCGAUGUGACUUAAAUAAAAUGACGUGACUUAAAUAGGAUAGUGACUUUUUAACUUUUUGGCUUUUUUAGGUUAUGUCAAACAAAGCCUAUAAUUAACAAUGCCUUAGAAGCUACUAUAAAAUUCAAAAUCCUGACAAAACAUGUCUUCAGUUAUUGUUAGAUUCACAAAAAUCUUAAAAACUUAAAUUUGGUACACUGAAACAUGCAUAUGAGUUUGGUUAUGUUUUUCCAGUGCCAUUUAUCCAACAAAAAAAAAAAGAAAAAAAAGUUAUGUCUUUCCAGUGCCAUUCAAAUUUUCAAAUAUGGGUUUGGUAUGGGUUGGGUUUGAAGUGAUGUGGUAGAAAGGUGAUGUGACUUAAAUAAAAUGACGUGACUUAAAUAGGAUAGUGACUUUUUAACUUUUUGGCUUUUUUAGGUUAUGUCAAACAAAGCCUAUAAUUAACAAUGCCUUAGAAGCUACUAUAAAAUUCAAAAUCCUGACAAAACAUGUCUUCAUUUAUUGUUAGAUUCACAAAAAUCCUAAAAACUUAAAUUUGGUACACUGAAACAUGUAUAUGAGUUUGGUUAUGUUUUUCCAGUGCCAUUUAUCCAACAAAAAAAAAAAGGAAAAAAAGUUAUGUCUUUCCAGUGCGAUUCAAAUUUUCAUCUCUGUUGUUGCUGCCAAACCGGCCACAUGCCACGUGCCCCCGCUUUAUUCUUGUUCAGCUUGCCACGUGUCGCAGACUGCCAUGUGUUGUGCAAUCUCCACUGCAAUUCAAGUCUGUGGCUGACAACUUCAUUGCAAGGGACAACAACCCUCCACGCAUGGUUUACAUCUACUAGUACCAAAACUGAACUAUGUGCUCUAUGCUGCUUGAUUUCUGCACAAUGAAUCAACGUCUACUGCGGGAACUUCCUUUGCACCCUCUACAGCAGUGCUUACACUUUGAUUCUCUGCCUCACAGACCCUCGGGGUCAACUGAAGGUUCUGCCUAUUCAUAAAUAACAUACUCCUAUUCGGCGUAGACUACAAUCGAUUUUGGUUGCCUGCACUUCUCAGUGAGAGAUUACAAGCAAGAAUAUUCUUCUUCACUUGUGCAAUUUUGCUCUUCAAAUUGAGCAAUUUUCUGAGCUUGUUCCAUAGUGCAAUCUUCUGAGCUUGUUCCAUAGUGCAAUCUGGAAAGUCCUCCCCAAUUUCACACAAUCUUGCACUACUCGGAGAAUCACCCCCAUCAGCCAAAGCAAACACUAAUUCAGGACACUCUGCUCCGUUUGAAAACUUUCCAUACAAACCUGAGUCAACAUCAUUUCUUGGAUAGCAGAGAUGAACCACACCCAAUAAAAGAUUUUCAAUUUCGAUUUUACUGUCGGCUUCUUUGAUUUAGUUUUCUUCCCCAUGAAUUCAAUGGAAUUUGAGAUAAACUCUAGAGCACAUAGAGAGCACAUAGCCAUCCUUUCGUUCGAUUUUAUGGACCUACAUGUGUACACACAGACAUCGGUGUAGAUUACUUGUUUUUGGGUUUGCCACUUUGGUUUUCCUAAAUUUAUUAAUCAUUUUUCAUCUAGUAAUUAAACCAAACCAAACCAAACCAAACCAAACCAAACCAAGUCAAGCUUUAAGUCACAUAAAAUGGGGUCAGCCACAUAAAUCAUUCUUUUCAACUUGACUCUAUAAACGGCCAUUUGGUUAGUCAAAUUAAGGAGAUCCAUAUCUCUAUUUAUUACACUAGUCCACGCCAAUCUAGAUUUGCUCCUUCCCCUAACACUUCCAUUUAACGUCACGAUAUCGCAUAUUUUAACUACUAUCUCUAUUGGUCUCUAUUGUAUAUGCCCAAACCAUUUCAAUUUAUUCUCUCGGUCAACUUAUCUUCUAGGUACUAGUACUACUCCUACCCAUUUACGAAUACUCAUUCCUAACUUUAUCUUUUCUAGUUUUGCCAUACAUCUACCUUAGCAUCCUUAUCUCAGCAACACUCAUCUUAUCUAUAUGUUAUUUCUUAGUUGCCUAACAUUUCAUCUCAUACAACAUCGCUAAUCUAAUAGCUGUUCUAUAGAAUUUUCCUUUUAGUCUAGUGGGUACUCGUUUAUCGCACAGUAUCCCAGACACACUCUUCCAUCGAUCCUAAAUAACCAAAAUGUUCACUCUUAGGUAGUUCUUAGUUCUUAAUCUUCAUUUCUCCUUUGCCUCCAUUGUUAUUGUUCCUAAAAUUACACUCUAUGUACUUAGUCUUAGUUUUGUUUAUCCUAAAUCCUUUAGAUUCUAGUGCUUUUCUCCAAAUCUCCAACUUAGUGUUAAGUCAUUCUCUAGUCUCAUCCACUAAUACGAUCUCAUUUGCAAAAAAUAUAUACUAUGGCACAUCAUUUUGAAUAUUUCUCGUCAACUUAUCCAUAACUAAAACAAAAAGAUAAGGACUUAAGGUUGAUUUUUAGUAUAACCUCAUAGUAAUUGAAAAUUCACUUGUCUUUCCAGCAAGCGAUCUAAUAGAGGUCACCACACUUUCAUACAUGUCCCUAAUCACAUCAAUGUAACCUUUUGUCACCACUUUCUUCUUUAACACCCUUAUCAUAUGUUUUUUCAAGAUCGAUAAAAACCAUAUGAAUGUCUCUUUUCUUUUCUCUAUACUUUUCUAUUACUCUCCUCAAAAGAUAAAUCACUUCCAUUGUUAACCUACCCAACAUAAAUCCAAAUUAAUUCUCUUACAUCUUUGUUAUAUCUUGCAAUCAACGUUCAAUCAUUCUCUCCCACACUUUCAUUUAAUGGCACAUUAGCUUGAUUCCUCUAUAGUUGUUGCAGUUCUAUACAUCUCCUUUGUUUUUAAAUAUUGGCACUAAAAUACUCUUUCUUCACUUCUCUGGCAUUUUCUUAGUCAACAAAAUCUUACUAAAUAACCUAGUUAACCAAGCAACUCUCUUCUUACCCAAACAUUUCCAAGCUUCAAUAGGGAUAUCAUCGUGUCCUAAAGUCUUAUUCGAUUUCAUCUUCUUAAGUGCAAUAUCCACUUCAAAGUUCCUAAUCCUGCGAUAGAACCUGUAAUCUUUGUUUUCCUUAUUACUGGCUAUUUCCUCCCUUUUUGACCUUCUUCCAUGUUCCUCAUUUAACAACUUUUCAAAAUAGUUCUUUCAUUUCUCCUUAAUCUUUUCAUCCUUCACCAAUAUUUUAGAGUCCUCACUCUUGAUGCACUUAACCUGAUUAAAAUUUCUUAUUUUCCUUUCUCUUAUCUUAGUAAGUUUGUAUGUUCUCUUCUCCCCUCCUUACUAUCUAAUCUAGUGUAUAAGUCAUCAUAGACUGUCAACUUAGCUUCUCACACUCUUUUGUUAACCUCCUUAUUUGCCAAUCUAUAGCUCUUCUGCCACUUUUUAAAGCACUCUUUAUUUGUCUUUACUACUGUUUGAACCUCCUCCCUCCACCACCAAGUUUCCUUAGAAUUGGAUCCCUUUCUUUUUGAUUCUCCAAGGACUUUCCUUGCGAUUCUCCUCAUACAAUUGACUAUUGAGUUCCACAUAGUGUUAGCAUCAUCUUCUAAGUCUCAAUUACAUUAUUUAUCCAUUCUAGUCUUAAAUAUUUUUGGUUUAUCCCCUUUUAAGUCUCACCAUCUCGUCUUAUGAUGCCCACUAUUCUUCCUAGCUUGAUAUUGCCCAGUGUUUUUAAAGGCUCAAGGCGCACUAAGGCGCUGAAGGUCUCUCGGGGCCUAGGCGCAAGGCGAGACGCAGGCUUUAUUGAAGUAAGGCGCACAGUUUUCGUAAAAAAUA